GUACCUAGCUAAGAAUACACACAGGGGUGAUCAGAGUGGAGACAGGGGUACAUCCCGUUGUGUGGCAUCAGGGAUGGCUCUGGGAGGCAUUAUGGUUACAAAAUCCAGGCAGGAAUGGGGUUGGGACUCCUGGUCUCAUGUGCACUUAGUUCCUCGUUCAGCAGCGCUCUACCGAGUGGAAGAAUCAAGUUACUGCAGAAUC